CCCAGCUGUAGGCAGCUGCCUAGGUUGCCUACUACCUAGGCAAGUGUUAUGCUACUGGGAGAACAGCAGCCCUUACAUAGCUGGCUGGCAUUCUGGCCUUGUUCAUUCCAACUGUUAACUAAACCAGGAUGCCAGCACAGUUUCUGAGCUGUUAAAUCUGCAAGAGCAGGUCUUUCACUGGGAGGGACCUACAGAUUCAGG
rnacentral:snoRNA from 1 species